CCGGGAGUCCCCGUGGGACUACAUCUCCCGGCAGGCCAGGCGGCGGGACCUGGGGGGGUUUGUCGGGAGAUGUAGUCCCAGGGAGAGGGCCGGACUGCUGCUCCCGGGGAAGGGAGACGGAGGCGAUCAGCCCUGCUGUAGCCCACGUCUGGUUCCCGGCACAAAAGUCAGGGCGACACUCGCCGCGCCGCUCUCGGCCCCGUAUUCCCGGCCCGGCAUUCCCGGCCCGACCGCCGGGGACACACGCCGGACAGCCCCCGCAGCCAGGGCGGGACAGCGGCCGCAGCGCCGGACAGCAGCGGGACCGGACACCGGCGGCACCGCGGGGCACUCUGGGCUCCCUUUAAGUAUUGGAAGGCCUCAAUAAGAUCUCUCCGGAGCCUUUUCUUUUCCAGGCUCAACAACUCCAGCUGCCUCAGCCUGUCUUCACAGGAGAGAUGCUCCAGCCCUCUGAGAUCAUCUUCAUAGCCUCCUCUGGAUGUGCUCCAGCAUGUCUGUGUCUUUUCUGUACUGGGGACCAGAGAGCUGGCUUCAGUAGUAAAAGGGCAGGAUUGCCUCCCUUGACCUGCUGCCCAGGAUGCAGUUGGCUUUCUGGGCUGCAACUGCUCACUUUUGGUUCACGUCCAACUUUUCACCCAUAAGAACCCUCACUUCCUUCUCAGCAGGGCUGCUCUCAGUGAGUUUUCCGGUCUGUGUUCUCCAGUUCUUCUCAUGUCUGGGAUUGUCCAGACCCAAGGCCAGCACGAAGCACUUGGACUUGUUGAACUUCAUGAGGUUUUUGUGGGCCCAGGUUUGUCCAGGUCCCCCUAGAUGGCACCCUGUCCUUGAGGUGUGUCACCCACACCACUCACCUUGCAAACUGGCUGCGGGUGCACUCGCUCCCGCUGUGUCAUUGAUAAAGAUAUUAAAAGCCCCAGCCGGUCCCAAGACACAGCCCUGAGGCACAGCCUAGCGUUUGUCACCUGUCUCCAUUUGGAUAUAAGGUCAAAGCCCAUAGCACCCUGGCCGCACCCAUCCAGCUAAUUCCCAUAACCCACCCGUGAAAUCUGGACACAAAUGAUUGUGGAGGACCCAGUUACCACCGACGUUGUAUCAUAUCAAAUCCGCCUGAUUAUACCUAUCCUCUCUCUUUUUCUUGCCUCUGUGCAAAAUUUAAAAUACUCUGAUAACUACGUUAUUAAACCUAUUUUUAAACCAGAAUAGGGGUAGCUCUACCGAAGUAGAGCCUCAAAAAA